CAGUCGCCGCGGGAAUGCGGAGGGAGCUAGCGUUGUUCGGAAUUACUGGGCGCAAAGCGCGCGUAGGCGGUUACUCAAGUCAGAGGUGAAAGCCCGGGGCUCAACCCCGGAACUGCCUUUGAAACUAGGUGACUAGAAUCUUGGAGAGGUCAGUGGAAUUCCGAGUGUAGAGGUGAAAUUCGUAGAUAUUCGGAAGAACACCAGUGGCGAAGGCGACUGACUGGACAAGUAUUGACGCUGAGGUGCGAAAGCGUGGGGAGCAAACAGGAUUAGAUACCCCGGUAGUCCCUGUCUCUUAUAC
rnacentral:rRNA from 1 species